rnacentral:rRNA from 1 species
CACGGAGGGUGCGAGCGUUAUUCGGAAUUACUGGGCGUAAAGCGCGUGUAGGCGGCUAUUUAAGUCUGAUGUGAAAGGCACCGGCUCAACCGGUGAGUUGCGGCGGAUACUGCAUAGCUGGAGUACUGGAGAGGGAAGUGGAAUUCCCGGUGUAGCGGUGAAAUGCGUAGAUAUUGGGAGGAACACCAGUGGCGAAGGCGACUCUCUGGUCUGUUACUGACGCUGAGGCGCGAAAGCGUGGGGAGCAAACAGG